rnacentral:rRNA from 1 species
AGAGUUUGAUCCUGGCUCAGGAUGAACGCUGGCGGCAUGCCUAAUACAUGCAAGUCGAACGAGAGGAAGGAAAGCUUGCUUUUCUGAAUCUAGUGGCGAACGGGUGAGUAACACGUAGGUAACCUGCCCAUGUGCCCGGGAUAACUUCUGGAAACGGAUGCUAAAACCGGAUAGGUAGCAGACAAGCAUUUGACUGCUAUUAAAGUGGCCUUGGCCAUGAACAUGGAUGGACCUGCGGUGCAUUAGCUGGUUGGUGAGGUAACGGCCCACCAAGGCGACGAUGCAUAGCCGGCCUGAGAGGGCGGACGGCCACAUUGGGACUGAGACACGGCCCAAACUCCUACGGGAGGCAGCAGUAGGGAAUUUUCGUCAAUGGGGGGAACCCUGAACGAGCAAUGCCGCGUGAGUGAGGAAGGUCUUCGGAUCGUAAAGCUCUGUUGUAAGAGAAAAACGGCACUCAUAGGGAAUGAUGAGUGAGUGAUGGUAUCUUACCAGAAAGUCACGGCUAACUACGUGCCAGCAGCCGCGGUAAUACGUAGGUGGCGAGCGUUAUCCGGAAUUAUUGGGCGUAAAGAGGGAGCAGGCGGCACUAAGGGUCUGUGGUGAAAGAUCGAAGCUUAACUUCGGUAAGCCAUGGAAACCGUAGAGCUAGAGUGUGUGAGAGGAUCGUGGAAUUCCAUGUGUAGCGGUGAAAUGCGUAGAUAUAUGGAGGAACACCAGUGGCGAAGGCGACGAUCUGGCGCAUAACUGACGCUCAGUCCCGAAAGCGUGGGGAGCAAAUAGGAUUAGAUACCCUAGUAGUCCACGCCGUAAACGAUGAGUACUAAGUGUUGGGUGUCAAAGCUCAGUGCUGCAGUUAACGCAAUAAGUACUCCGCCUGAGUAGUACGUUCGCAAGAAUGAAACUCAAAGGAAUUGACGGGGGCCCGCACAAGCGGUGGAGCAUGUGGUUUAAUUCGAAGCAACGCGAAGAACCUUA